rnacentral:tRNA from 1 species
CGGGAUGUAGCGCAGUUGGUAGCGCGCCUGCUUUGGGAGCAGGAUGUCGCAGGUUCGAGCCCUGUCAUCCCGA